rnacentral:rRNA from 1 species
UACGAAGGGGGCUAGCGUUGUUCGGAAUUACUGGGCGUAAAGGGCGCGUAGGCGGCGCGUUAAGUCAGGUGUGAAAGCCCUGGGCUCAACCCAGGAAUUGCACUUGAUACUGACGUGCUUGAAUCCGGAAGAGGAUGACGGAAUUCCCAGUGUAGAGGUGAAAUUCAUUGAUAUUGGGAAGAACACCAGUGGCGAAGGCGGUCAUCUGGUCCGGUAUUGACGCUGAGGCGCGAAAGCGUGGGGAGUAAACAGG